rnacentral:rRNA from 1 species
AUUGAACGCUGGCGGAAUGCUUUACACAUGCAAGUCGAACGGCAGCACGGACUUCGGUCUAGUGGCGAGUGGCGAACGGGUGAGUAAUGUAUCGGAACGUGCCCAGUCGUGGGGGAUAACGUAGUGAAAAUUACGCUAAUACCGCAUACGAUCUAUGGGUGAAAGCGGGGGAUCGCAAGACCUCGCGCGAUUGGAGCGGCCGAGAUCAGAUUAGGUAGUUGGUGGGGUAAAGGCCCACCAAGCCAACGAUCUGUAGCUGGUCUGAGAGGACGACCAGCCACACUGGAACUGAGACACGGUCCAGACUCCUACGGGAGGCAGCAGUGGGGAAUUUUGGACAAUGGGCGAAAGCCUGAUCCAGCCAUUCCGCGUGCAGGAUGAAGGCCCUCGGGUUGUAAACUGCUUUUGUACAGAACGAAAGGGUUUCUACUAAUACUAGGAGCUCAUGACGGUACUGUAAGAAUAAGCACCGGCUAACUACGUGCCAGCAGCCGCAGUAA